ensembl:lncRNA
GUUGAUUUUGGAGAGACUAGAGUGAAGGAGUCUGGCCUUUCAUCUCAAAGUAAUGAUGGACAAAGACAGCACUUCUGGGGAAUGUGUAACGCUGGGAGAGAAACAUCAUCCCCUGAAACUGCCCUAAGCAAGAAUCAGGCCAAGAAGGAAAAGGAGAGGCUGAUUGAAGAGCUGCGGCUCAUUACCGAGGAGACCUGAGAGAUCGCCUGAGGUUCCUGACAGAGAGAUCCAAGAACUACAGGCCACACUUCAGGCCAAAUCCAUAUUAUGAAGGCCUGGAGAGAAUGGAGGAGGCGGUCAUGUCAAUUCUGCACAACUUAGAGAUGGAGAACACUGAGAUCCAUGAGAACAGCCAGAAGCUGAAGAAGGAGAUGACCUUCUCUAGAAACCUGCUCAGCCAGCUCCUGAUGGAGAACACAUGCAGGAAGAAGUUGGUCCCACUGAAGCAGGAGAGCAAGGAGGGACAUCUUGAGUGUGCACUGAACCAGAAAUAUUUGGUUGACUUCAACAGGAAAGAUAAAGACCAGCAACGUCCAGACCCAGCAU